UGGAAGAUUGGAAGGUGAAUGAAUGUGGUGAUACCCUCUUCUGCAUGGAUAAAGUUUGGCAAGCUAGUCUUCGUCAUGGCUUUCUCCCUUUAUCUACCGCUCGUUAAUUUUAGACCAUUACCAAUAAAUAAAUACCUGGCAGCUAAAAGAUUUUAAUAUCUUUCUACUGUUAUAGGGCACAAUAUGUCCAUAGCAAUUGUACAACUCCAUUUCAUAAAUAAAUCCUACUACUUUCGAGCUCCCAUAUAACAUUCAUGGGUUUAAUCCAACCACAAAUAUAUUUAGUUGAAUCCGGCAGGCUAUCACCCCUCUUAAAAUUUUAAUUUAGUUAGUUUUUUAUUAAUUUAAUUAAAUAAAAAUUUAAAAUUAUAUAUUUUUUAAAUAUAAUUCAAAUUAAAUUAUAAUUAGUGUAACAUAAUUAUAUUAAAUUUACACUUGUUAAAUAUAAUUGUUCUUAAAUUAUUCGAUUAUUAUUUAAUUUAAUUUUAUAAAGAAGUAAUUUUAUUUAUUUAAAAUUAUAUGUUAAACUAUUUAAAUUUAGGGAGAAUAAAUUUUAAAUUUUAAAAAAAAUAGUGUUUUAUAAGUAAUAUUAUUAGAUUAUUUAAUAAUUUCAUGGACUAUUUAAAUUUAAAAUAAAAUAAAAUUUAAAUUUAAAAAAUAUAAAUUUAAUAGAUAAUAAAUUAAAUAAUUUAAAUUUAAAAAUUCUUAAAUAUAUAUAAAUAAUGUAUUAUUUUAUUGGGUAAUAAGUUAGACUACUUACUCAAAUUAGAAAAAAAUGAACUUAAAAUAUUCUUUUCACUGAAAAUGAGUUAGAAUAUUUAACUUUAAAAAAAAUAAAUUUUGAUACUAAAAAGUAUAUUAAAUUAUUAUUAUAAUGUUUUAAUAGUAUUAUAUUUCAUAAGUUUUCUUGCUAUAAUCACAGUAAAAAAUAUUAUUAAAAGUGAACUCCAUAAUAAAAUAUUAAUUGUGAUUAAAUAUAUUUAUAAAUAUUAAUAAUAAAGUUAUUAUAAAUAUAUUUAAAAUUUAUUGUAAUUUAAUUAUAAAAUUUUAGUAAUUGUUUAUAAAAAAAAAAAAUCUGUGUUUAUUUUAUAUAUUUUAUUUGAAGAUUUAUGGAGUUAAUUUUUAGGAAGGAAGCCACGCAGGUCCCUCAUGAAGCACAUCGUCAUUAUUUGGCCCCGAAAUAAAAGAGGAACCUGCAUGAAGAUUUAUGGAGUUAAUUUCAUUCUCUAUAUACCUGGUCAAAUUUAAUGGCUUUGUCCACGAUCUGAUUAUUCCUUUGGCUGUCCGACUAUCUAAAUUAUAAAAAAUUUUAUAAAUUUAUUUUGAGUAUGUAUAAAAAAAAUAAAACAAAAAGCCCAACCAUCAUUCUAAACAACAAAAAUGGGAAAAAUGAGUGCGGCUGACUUGCCAUUUUCUCCCCUGGAGACAGCAAGAGAACUAGGGUUAAGUAUUCAGUCGGUUGGGUUUAAAAUCAAGUCGAAUUGAAAUAACUGAAAAUCAAAUUGAAAAAUUUUAUAAAAACCGAAUCGAACCGAAUAAGAGGGAUAAUCGAAUCAAACCGAAUCGAUCUGAUUCGGUUCGAUUUGGUUAGUUCAAUCGGUUAAACUAAUUUUUAAUCUUUUUUUUUUAAAAUGAGAUUUUUAAGUUCAGUUAUCUCGAUUUCAAACUGAUCUGAUUCGAUUCGAUUGGUUUAAGUCACACAAUAGCACACGACAGCAGCGACAGGCGACGGCCGAUGAUUGCGCGGAGAGAGAGACUAGAGAGCGAUGGAGAAAUGAGACAAGGAGGAGUUGGCGUCGCUGGGUCACGCAGCCAGAGAAAUGAGGCAAGGAGGAGUCGGGUCGCUGGGUCACGCAGCCGCAAUGUACAAGCCGAGUUACCCGACGAUGGUCAAUCAGUAAAAAACGUUGCUUCUGUCAGCCUUUUUGUGCAACAGUCCACCAAUAGCAGAAGAGAGGAUUACCGUACAUACAAGAGUGUUCCAAUUCUUACAUAAGCUUUUUCUUACCAGUCAAGUAGUACAACAGCUGUAUCUUAUCUUAUAGUCCGGCGCGGCGGGUCGCCUUUUGAAUUUCGUAGAUAGAAGAAAUAGGAGUAGGUGAGUGAGUGAGUGAGUCCUCACUGACCUGAGCGAUUUCGAUCGGGAAGAGAGUGGAGGUUGGACGGUGAAAGCGCCGCUGGAAGUGCUGGAUGGAUGGAGGUACAGGCGGCGUAGAAUCUGGAGAAGGGGGACAGCGUGAAUGCGUGAGCGUUACUCUAUGUGGGAUGUGGCAGACGAGAAUGAGAGGAGAUGACUUUUAGAUCUAGGGCAAAUAAAGGAACUACUGAAAACGACGUAGUAUUGCUGAUUUCGGUUCGGUUUAAUUGAAAUUUUUGGAUUCAAAAUCGAACCGAACCGAAAUCACCGAUUUUUUAAAAAAUUAAACCCGAACCGAACCGAAUAAAAAAUUAAAACCGAACCGAAUUUUCAAAAUUAAUCAGUUUGAUCGGUUAUUUCGGUUUAAACCGAAUACUGCCGACCCUAAAGAGAACCAUCAAAUACUAUGUGCAAAUUGCACUUCUUCUGCAUAAAUGUCACAAGCUGCGAGAAUAUAUAUCGAGAAAUGCUCGAGAAAUCCUCAAAAAAUACUAACAACACAACUUUUGUGAACAUUAUUUAUAUUAUUAAUUAAAAUUUAUUUAUUAUAUUAAUUAUUAUUUUUCUUCUACUUAAUUAAUUAUUAAUUAUCAUAAUUUUUAAAUAAUAAUAUGAUAAGUAUUUAAUGCAUGAUUAUUAUAUAAUAUGAAAUUUAAAAAUAAUUAAAUUUUAGUUAAGCAUAAUAAAUAAUGAAAUUAUCUAAUAUAUAAAAUUAUUAACUUAAUCUAUUUAAUUUUAAGGAUGAAAUUAUGAUGUUUCAAUAAUUUAAUUAAUUAUUUAUUAUUUUAAGAGUUAAUUUAAUUUUAAACAUUAAUAAUUUUAAUAUUAAUAAAACUUUAAAGAAUAUACUAAUAUAUAAAUUCAGCCGCUGAAUUUGUUUAAAUAUUAUUCCAAUUAAAAUAUUUUUUUUUUAAAUAGAAAGUUAAGUUUUAUAUGCUGGAACGUUAAUUUUUAACGGGAUACAGAGAGUAAAGUUAUAAAAAUAUUUUAAUAUAAAGUAUUUUUAUUGAAAAAAAAUAAAGAUAUAAUUAUAAAAAAUAUAAAGUUUGAGAUUUUUAUAAAUAUUUUAUUGGAAGGUUUUUAUUUUUCAUGUGGUUUUUCUAAUUAUGAUUUUAAUUAAUUAAUUUACUAAAAAUGGCAAAAUCGCUUAAUAAUGAUAUAUUUGAUUAUUUUUUAUUAAAGAGACCAUUUUAGACUUUUUGAAUUUUAUUAUACUUAGUAUACUAUAUACUGAUUUUUUUCAUUACACUUAGUAUAAUUAGAGAUCGUAAUAACCAUCUAAAUACAAUAUUUUUAAAAAAAAAAACAUGUAAUUUUUCAUUAUGAUAUAAAUUUAGAAAUCUUAGCUUAAAAUUUAAUAUUUUAGAAGUACAAGUUAGGAAGUUUGAUAUGCAACAAACUUUAUUUAAGUGAUAAUUAUAAUUUAUUAGAAUAUUAAUUUUGAAAUUAAUUUCUCCCUGUUGCCAUGUGUCACUCUAUCUUCUCACUUCAAUUUUUAGAAUUUAAAUGAUUAUUUUCCUCUAACGAGUGGUUAACUUUUUAUGAUUAAAUGUAUUAAAUUUACUUUUUCUGGAAAACCUCAUGACAUACGUCAAAUAAAAGGACAGCCACCUGUAUCAUUCUUUUACUGUGACUCAGCCAAUUAUUUAUACUGAAUUUGAGGACUAACUCAUAAAGUGAAAAGAAUGUAAUUGUUUUAAUUUUACAUCACUUACGUAAGCAUUAAUUUAACACAUGACAAUUGUAAUCCAUCCAUUCGCUGAAAUCAUUGUAUAUUCGUACCAUUUUUUAUGUGUGAUAUUGACGUACGGGAAGAGUCUCCAGAUAUGGUAGUAGUUUUCGGUUAUAGCUUUUACAUCGACUUCACCAACAACUUAUAUGAAUGGUAAAUUAAUAAAUGGUAUAAUAAGAUUACAAAUUAUAUUUUAUUUUUAUUUUAAAUGUUAUAUAUUAUAAUUCUAAAAAAAUAAACAGAGUUAAAAUUUUAUUAGUUUUAUUUUUAAUCAGUUAAAAAAACAAUUUAAAAGGAAAAGGAUUUUUUAUUUUUUAUUUUUUUUUUAAAAAAAACUUAUGCACUGUUACAUACAUAUUAAAAUCAUGAAAGGAAUUUUUCAUAAAUUUUUUAAUUUUUUAAAUUAAAUUUUAACACAAAUCAAUUUAAAAGGAAAAUAGCAUUUUCUUUAGUUUAUUUUUAAAAACAUAUUUAAUUUACAUCACAUAUUAAAAUCAUUAAUUUAUUUUUUCUUUACAAGACAAAAGCACCUUUUUAUUUUAAUUGCAUAACAAUAAAACAAAAAAUUAAUUUAAAAAUAUGAAUUUUAAAUUUAUAUAAUUUUUAUAAAUAAGUAAAUAAUAAAUAUUUAAAUCAAUUAAUUAAAUUUAAUUUUUAAUUUUUAAUGUAAAAAUAUAUAUUAAUUAUAAAUUAUAAAUAUUUAUAUAUCAAUGACCAAUAUUAAGAUGAGUAGUUUAAUAUUCUUCAAAAAUUAUAAACAAUUAUAUGAAUUUUAAUAUAAUAUUACAAAUUAAUGAAUAAAAUAAUAAUAUUAAUUUGAUUAAUUAAAACAUAAAUUUAUAGUUAAUUUAUUAAUUUUAUAAAUAACAAAUACAAUUAUUUUAUUUAUUAAUAUCUAUAAUAAACAACUUAAAAAAUAUCUUUACUUUUAUUUUUUAGUUAAAUUCUCGUAAUUAUUUAUUAAUAUACUUUUUAACACAUAGUACGUUUUGAAUGAUAAUAACUGUUUUUAAAAAAUAAUUUAUAAUUUUUAAACUUAUUCUUUCAUAGAUAUAUAUUUUUUAUUAUAAUAAUAUUAAACUAUCAACAAUAUUAUUAGCAAUUCUAAUUAAUAUUCUCCUCUCCCACUUUCACUUAUAAAUAUAUUAUAAGUGGACGUCAAAACAUGAACACCAUUUCUUGUGGGUUUAUAUAAAGCCACUCAAUCGAUCAGUCCUCUCCUCAUCCACAUUCGCAAAAAUUACAUGGCUUUGAAGCCAGGAAUUCUCACCGAGUGGCCGUGGAAGUCUCUUGGAAACUUCAAGGUAAGUUUGUGUUAUUCAUGUAGGAAUUAUUAAUUAAUUAAUUACUAGAUGAAGGUGAAAUAAGCCUGAUAACUGAUAAUGCUUGGUGCAGUAUUUGCUUCUGGGUCCAUUCGUGACACAUAGUAUUUACUCAUUCAUGGUGAAAGAAGAGAAGGAGAGGGACCUCGUCAACUUCAUUAUUUUCCCCUCAAUCCUGGCUAGGAUGCUGCAUAACCAGCUGUGGAUUUCUUAUUCUCGUUAUAGAACUGCCAAAGGCAACAAUAGGAUUCUUGACAAGACCAUUGACUUCGACCAAGUUGAUAGAGAAAGCAAUUGGUUGCUGCUGCUUAUUAAUUCCUGCAUGUCUUCAUAUAUAUAUAUACAUAUAUAUAUAUCAAUUAUUAAUAAUGUUUUGUUUUGGCAGGGAUGACCAAGUGUUAAUGCAUGGACUAGUAUUCUACGGUGUGAAUUUGGGAAUUCCUGGGGCGUCUCACGUACCCAUGUGGAGAACAGAUGGAGCAGUUUUGGCGAUUUUGCUUCAUGCAGGUCCUGUGGAGUUCCUCUAUUACUGGUUUCACAGAGCUCUGCACCAUCACUAUCUCUAUACUCGCUAUCAUUCCCAUCAUCAUUCCUCUAUCGUCACUCAGCCUAUUACUGGUACUUAAUUUGAAUAUAUUGCUUAAUUAACUAUUUAAUGGGAAAUUCUUAUGUAAACAUUAAUUUGACAUGGCAGCUGUAGUCCAUCCAUUCGCUGAAAUCGUGGUAUAUUUCAUUCUAUUUGCAAUACCACUUAUUGGUGUGGUGUUGACGGGAACAGCCUCCCUGGUAGUAAUUUUCGGAUAUGUCUUUUACAUUGACUUCAUGAACAACUUGGGACACUGCAAUUUUGAGAUCAUUCCAAAAAGCCUCUUCUCUGUUCUUCCUCCUCUCAAAUAUCUCUUCUAUACAGCCUCGUAAGUCUCUUUCUACUUUAUAUUGCCUUCAAUUUUAUUAGCUGCACAUAGUGACGUUAUUUUUAUUGCCAGAUUUCACUCGCUGCAUCAUACCAAGUUCCGGACCAACUACUCACUUUUCAUGCCCUUCUACGACUACAUCUACGACACCAUGGACAAGACUUCAGAUGAGGUGCAUGAAACUGCGCUCAAAAAGCCUGCAGACUCCCCUACUCACGUCCAUUUAACUCAUUUCACAACUCUAGACUCGGUUUACCAUUUCCGCUUAGGAUUUACGUCCUUGGCCUCAGCCCCUCAAACUUCGGCAUGGUUUCUCUGGAUUCUCAGCCCGUUCACAUAUUUCUUCAUGCUGUUAACCUCUCUCUUUGGCAGUACAUUUGUCGCGGAGAGGAACACCCUCAAUAACCAGCUUCGAUCACAAACUUGGCUGAUACCCAGAUACAAAAUACAGGUAUUUAUUCUCUCAUGUAAUUAAAUUUAAUAUAUAUCUACGUAAUACUUAACCUGUUAAGUAAACUUUUUUUUCUAGUACUUUCUUAAAUGGCAAAGAGCGGUCAUAAAUUAUUUCGUGGAAGAAGCUAUACUGGAAGCGGACAGGAGAGGCACUAAGGUGUUGAGCCUAGGCCUUCUGAACCAGGUAAGCUUUUUCUAAUUUUCCCAGUGUGUAUAAUUAGUGUGCCUACAAAAUGUAUACUACAAAAGUGUUCUUCAAACACCAUGCAUGUGAAAAAUUAAUAUCUGAUGUUGCAGGGGGAAGAGCUAAACAGAUGUGGGGAGCUAUAUAUUGAAAAGUACCCAAAGCUAAAAGUAAAGUUGGUGGAUGGGAGCAGCUUAGCUGCGGCUAUUAUUCUCAAUAAUAUCCCCAAAGGAACUACCCGAGUGUUACUUAGAGGCAAUAUCACUAAAGUAGCAAAGGCCGUUGCUUUGGCCUUACACGAGAGGGGCAUCCAGGUAUUUAACAUAUGCUUUUAAUUUAAUAAAUUAAAAGUUUUAAACUAAUUACUUCUGUUGCGGAUGGAUCAGGUCGCUGUUUUCCGGGAAAAUGAAAGCAAGAUUCCAAGGCUUGACAAUUACGCAGUUGUUACCACAAGUUAUGAUCACAAGGUAUAUUAAGUAAUGAUUUUGUCGCCUGCAACAAUUAGCACUUAAUUAAUUGUUGUUAAUUAAUAAAUAUGUAUCUGAGAUUGCAGGUAUGGUUGAUCGGAGAAGGAUUAACUGAUAAAGAACAGCUUAAGGCACCUGAAGGAACAGUAUUUAUACCCAUGACGCAAUUUCCUCCAAAACGCCUACGUAAAGAUUGCUUCUAUCAUAACACACCAGCAAUGCUGGCUCCUUCUUCUCUUUGCAACUUGGACUCUUGUGAGGUUUGUGAUAUAUAGUUAUGCUUCUAUAUCUUUCUAAUUAAAGAUAUUUUUUAUUUUUUGAGAUUUGAGUGUAUUACGUAUAUAUAUAGGAUUGGUUGCCAAGAAGAGCAAUGAGUGCCUGCCGUGUCGCUGGAAUUGUUCAUACUUUGGAAGAUUGGAAGGUGAAUGAAUGUGGUGAUACCCUCUUCUGCAUGGAUAAAGUUUGGCAAGCUAGUCUUCGUCAUGGCUUUCUCCCUUUAUCUACCGCUCGUUAAUUUUAGACAAUUACCAAUAAAUAAAUACCUGGCAGCUAAAAGAUUUAAUAUCUUUCUACUGUUAUAGGGAACAGUAUGUCCAUAGCAAUUGUACAACUCCAUUUCAUAAAUAAAUCCUACUACU
rnacentral:lncRNA from 1 species